GCUAAUACCGGAUAAGCCCUUACGGGGAAAGAUUUAUCGCCGAAAGAUCGGCCCGCGUCUGAUUAGCUAGUUGGUGAGGUAAUGGCUCACCAAGGCGACGAUCAGUAGCUGGUCUGAGAGGAUGAUCAGCCACAUUGGGACUGAGACACGGCCCAAACUCCUACGGGAGGCAGCAGUGGGGAAUAUUGGACAAUGGGCGCAAGCCUGAUCCAGCCAUGCCGCGUGAGUGAUGAAGGCCCUAGGGUUGUAAAGCUCUUUUGUGCGGGAAGAUAAUGACGGUACCGCAAGAAUAAGCCCCGGCUAACUUCGUGCCAGCAC
rnacentral:rRNA from 1 species